CCAGUUUUGCUCCAAGAACCAAUCGACGGCCCGGACUCCUACGGGAGGCAGCAGUGGGGAAUAUUGCGCAAUGGGGGAAACCCUGACGCAGCGACGCCGCGUGGAGGAUGAAGGUUUUCGGAUCGUAAACUCCUGUUGAGUGGGAAGAAAUGACAAAGUUUAAUACGCUUUGUAGAUGACGGUACCACUAGAGAAAGCACCGGCUAACUUCGUGCCAGCAGCCGCGGUAAUACGAGGGGUGCUAGCGUUAUUCGGAAUUACUGGGCGUAAAGAGCGCGUAGGCGGCUUGUUAAGUCGUUUGUUAAAUAUCUCAGCUUAACUGAGAAUCUGCAAGCGAUACUGGCAGGCUAGAGGUCAAGAGAGAGAAGUGGAAUUCUCGGAGUAGCGGUAAAAUGCGUAGAUCUCGAGAGGAACAUCGGUUGCGAAGGCGGCUUCUUGGCUUGAUACUGACGCUAAGGCGCGAAAGCGUGGGGAGCAAACAGGAUUAGAUACCCUGGUAGUCCACGCCGUAAACGAUGAUCACUAGAUGUUGGUUUCGCUUAGCGAAAUCAGUGUCGUAGCUAACGCAUUAAGUGAUCCGCCUGGGGAGUACGGUCGCAAGAUUAAAACUCAAAGAAAUUGACGGGGGUCCGCACAAGCGGUGGAACAUGUGGUUUAAUUCGACACUACGCGAGAAACCUUACCUAGGCUUGACAUGUAACUGCUACCAGUGGAAACAUUGGGUUUUGUGUUUACACAAACGGUUACACAGGUGCUGCAUGGCUGUCGUCAGCUCGUGUCGUGAGAUGUUGGGUUAAGUCCUUUAACGAGCGCAACCCUUGCCGUUAGUUGCUACUUUUAGAGCACUCUAACGGGACUGCCUUGGAAACAAGGAGGAAGGUGGGGAUGACGUCAAGUCCUCAUGGCCCUUAUGCCUAGGGCUACACACGUGUUACAAUGGCGAGUACAACGGGGAGCGAUGUCGCAAGGCUGAGCAAAUCCUAAAAAACUCGUCUAAGUUCGGAUCGAAGUCUGCAAUUCGACUUCGUGAAGUUGAAAUCGCUAGUAAUCGCGUAUCAGAACGACGCGGUGAAUACGUUCUCGGACCUUGUACACACCGCCCGUCACACCACGAAAGUCGUCAGCGCCCGAAAUCGCCUUAGCUAACCUAUUAGGAGGCGGGUGAUGAAGGUGAGGAUGAUGAUUGGGGUGAAGUCGGAACAAGGUA
rnacentral:rRNA from 1 species